UGAGGAAUAUUGGUCAAUGGACGGAAGUCUGAACCAGCCAAGUAGCGUGCAGGAUGACGGCCCUAUGGGUUGUAUACUGCUUUUGUAUGGGGAUAAAGUUAGGGACGUGUCCCUAUUUGCAGGUACCAUACGAAUAAGGACCGGCUAAUUCCGUGCCAGCAGCCGCGGUAAUACGGAAGGUUCAGGCGUUAUCCGGAUUUAUUGGGUUUAAAGGGAGCGUAGGCUGGAGAUUAAGUGUGUUGUGAAAUGUAGACGCUCAACGUCUGAAUUGCAGCGCAUACUGGUUUCCUUGAGUACGCACAACGUUGGCGGAAUUCGUCGUGUAGCGGUGAAAUGCUUAGAUAUGACGAAGAACUCCGAUUGCGAAGGCAGCUGACGGGAGCGCAACUGACGCUUAAGCUCGAAGGUGCGGGUAUCAAACAGGAUUAGAUACCCUGGUAGUCCGCACAGUAAACGAUGGAUGCCCGCUGUUGGUACCUGGUAUCAGCGGCUAAGCGAAAGCAUUAAGCAUCCCACCUGGGGAGUACGCCGGCNACGGU
rnacentral:rRNA from 1 species